UACGGGGGGGGCAAGCGUUGUUCGGAAUUACUGGGCGUAAAGCGCGUGUAGGCGGCUGCGUAAGUCGGGCGUGAAAUCCCACGGCUCAACUGUGGAAGAGCACUCGAAACUGCGUAGCUAGAGUCCUGGAGAGGAAGGUGGAAUACUUGGUGUAGAGGUGAAAUUCGUAGAUAUCAAGUGGAACACCAGUGGCGAAGGCGGCCUUCUGGACAGUGACUGACGCUGAGACGCGAAAGCGUGGGGAGCAAACAGG
rnacentral:rRNA from 1 species